CUACGGGUCGACCAGUGGGGAAUAUUGGGCAAUGGAGGAAACUCUGACCCAGCGACGCCGCGUGAGGGAUGAAGGCCUUCGGGUUGUAAACCUCUUUCAGCAGGGAAUAAGCGAAAGUGAAGGUACCUGCAGAAGAAGCACCGGCUAACUAUGUGCCAGCAGCCGCGGUAAUACAUAGGGUGCAAGCGUUGUCCGGAAUUAUUGGGCGUAAAGAGCUCGUAGGUGGUCGAUCACGUCGGAUGUGAAAUUCUGAGGCUUAACCUCGGACCUGCAUUCGAUACGGGUUGACUAGAGUGUGGUAGGGGAGACUGGAAUUCCUGGUGUAGCGGUGGAAUGCGCAGAUAUCAGGAGGAACACCGAUGGCGAAGGCAGGUCUCUGGGCCAUUACUGACACUGAGGAGCGAAAGCGUGGGGAGCGAACAGGAUUAGAUACCCGGGUAGUC
rnacentral:rRNA from 1 species